CUCUUUCAGUUUCUCCUUCUUUCUCUCUUAUCCUGUCACUGCGGUGUUUAUAUUUACACUCGCGGUCGGCGAUUAGUAAACUAAGUUGACAGCAAAAAAUGGAGGAUUCCAAUGAGGUGCUAGUCUGUGCAGCAGAGUUCUUGAAGGAUCGGUUAUACUUUGUUACGCUGAGGACAACGGUGAAACCUCGAAGCACCUCUAACACCCACUACUUCAGUAUCGAUGACGAACUCAUCUACGAGAACUUCUACGCUGACUUUGGACCCUUGAAUCUUGCAAUGCUUCAUCGUUAUUGUCAGAAAGUGAACAAGAAACUGAAGGCGAUCACUCUAAGCAAGAAGAAAAUUGUCCACUACACUGUGAUGGACCCUCAGAAGCGAGUAAACGCUGCAUUUCUUAUCGCUAGCUAUGUGAUAAUAUAUUGGAAACGUACCGCUGAAGAAGCCUAUGACAUUUUGAUAGCCAGCCCGACGAGUCCGCCAUUCAUAAUGUUUCGAGAUGCCUCUCUGGGUCCACCUUGCUACCAGAUAUCGUUGAAAGAAUGCCUCCGUGCCAUCCACAAGUGCUACUCUUUGGGAUUUUUCAAUUUUCGUGAUUUUCACCGGGAGGAGUACGAGUACUUUGAACGCGUAGAAAACGGUGACAUGAAUUGGAUAGUUCCAGGAAAGUUUAUCGCGUUUUGCGGACCCCAUGCUAAAACGAAAAUUGAAAACGGGUAUCCCCUACAUGCUCCGGAAUCUUACUUUGCAUACUUUCGUCGUAACAACGUUUCGACGAUCGUUCGGCUCAAUAAGAAAAUUUACGAAGCCUCUAGAUUUGUCGAAGCUGGAUUCGACCACAAGGAGCUGUUCUUCAUAGAUGGUUCGACGCCCACUAAUUCUAUAAUGCAACAGUUUCUGAAAAUAGCUGAAACUGCACCUGGUGCUGUCGCGGUACACUGCAAGGCUGGUCUUGGUAGAACAGGAUCCCUUAUCGGCUGCUAUAUCAUGAAACAUUACCAUCUUACAGCUCGGGAAACCAUUGCAUGGAUCAGAAUAUGUAGACCUGGUUCAGUGAUCGGCCACCAGCAACACUGGCUCGAGGAAAAAGAAGCCUACCUUCAUUCCUUACUGAAGGUACCGCUGCAUCCUGAGAACGGAAAUCCGGUACAUCAGUUUGGGAUAUAUUCAGUGGCUGGAAGACCCGGUGGAUUGUCCUUAUCUGGCCUGCGAAAUUCGCGUUUAGUUCAAGACAAUGUCUCAGGCAUCAUGCACCGAGUCGACGGUAUAAAACUUGACGAUCCUGGGCCGCUUCCAGGCAUCGUUGUACCAAAAAUCUCAGUUUUGACUCAAGGCGACAAGUUGAAUCAGAUAAAAGCAUCACGACGCAGCAUCAUACCUUCUUGUCAAUCGUCUCUGGGCGGUAUAUCGAGCCCCUCGACUGUUGCACAUCCUUACCUGGGACCUUUGCUUCAAACAAGGAGUCAGAAGGGAACCGCCGGCUUGGUUAGUAACAAGGACAAAGAAGUACCCAAGCGGCUCCUCGGCCGUGCGACUACCACAACGAUUGUAAAGAGAAAUAGUUGGCUGGUCACUAACAACUGCGAAUCAAGUGUACGCCGUAUCAAUUCAAAAGCAACGACACAGAUUCGUAGUAUGAACAACAAUCGAAAUCACAUCAACAACAACAACAACAGCAACAAUGUCAACAACGACGUGGAUUCAACGAGUCCAGUAACUUCCAGUUCUGUAUCAAAGCCAGUUACAAGGUCCAGUGUCAGGGCUUCGUGUGUUACCGAAGCUCGCGCUGCUGUUGCAACUACAAACCGCGGGGCUCUGCAGCCCCAACAACCGGGCAUGAAUAUGAUUCUGCGAUCAGCGGAUCGUGUCACACGAUAUCAUUCUCUGAGACAAGAUGUCAGAGACGAUAGGGCGGACAUCCAUAUAUCUCGCCAACGUAGGAGAUCUCGCCGCCUAAAUCCCAUCGUCCAGUGAGAUAAGUAUCACCACGUCGACAAUGUAACCGAGGUUCAAGCAUCAAACGAAGAACACAGAUCUCAUCGUGCUGAGGUUCCGAUGUCCCUGCCAACAAGGAGAGGGAGGAAGAAAGAUAGAUAAGUAGAUACAUAUAGAGGGUGGAAAGUGCUAACUUUACGGUGAAACGAAAUUAUUCUACAAAUGUACGAGCUCAGAGUCACGACGCAGGCUACGAGUGUACGAACAACUGAAAAUAUAAGUUGACUGACAUAUUCGUCUUUGAAAAUGGCUAGGUAUUUUAUAUAUACUUACAAGGAACCAACCAAUAGUUUUAUCCUUGAUGUAACAUUGAAAAAAUCCUUCUGUAGAGAAUUGUACAAUUGAUAUCAUAAUUACAGUUAAACAAAUUAAUAGUAGGUUUGAUACAUCAACACUUGCUGAACGCAGUAAAGUUUAUCGAUUUUAUAGUAACACAAAGACUUAUUUUACUAAUGUAGGUUUACUCUUUUAUUUUAUUUUAUUUUUUUCACCCUCUAAUUAUGUGUAACAUUUUCAAGAAUUUUGUCAAUGAUUUUUAAAUUAAUUAUAAACUGGAAACUUACUUCUUUGCUCGACAUACUACGAUCUUUUUUCUGGUGAGAUGCAAAUGUUAAAUCAGUCGUACUAUCAUUUCAUCCUGAACUACUUAUUGACGACUUUCACCAAUCACAGUGCACUGACCUUGUUUCAAAUUAUUCUCUGUUCCAAUUUGAAUCGCAUGUAUUUUCCUAUUGUGGAAGAUGACCGAAAUAUAACUAAGGUAGUUUUAAAGUGAGUGGACCCCAAGUGCAACACUGAAUCAGAAUAGGUAUGUUCUGCAACAGUGUCAUUGCAUCAUAGUCAGCAUGAAGUUAAUACUCUAGGAAACAUGAAGGAUUCAAAUUCAUAAAUUUCAUCGAUCCCAAUAGUUUCAUCAUGAGAAACUGAUCGAUUUAAAAAAUAAUCAAUUCCCAGUAGUUUUUUUUUUCAAACUACUGUUCCAUUUUACCCUAGUAGCGACAUUUUCAUUUCACGUCGUACUACUUCUUAUAUAUAAGUACAAAGCACCCAAAUGUAUUGGACCUCGAAAUUUAGUUAACGCUAAACAUUUACCUGCUGUAUUAUUAUUCAUAACAAUCGGAAAGUGUGUUUUUUUUAUCAAUUAGGGAUCACAUUGUAGUGAAUUCUUUGUAGAGAUCCGUCAUUUUAGUUCUGCAAGGUAUAAUUGAAAAAAUACGUCACAUGAAAUGGGAUGACAUAAGUAUAGUUCAUUUUUUAUUUUAUUGUAAAAGCGUAAAAAUUUAUUUACGAAUAUAAAAUACAAACUGUCAGAUAGAGUAUGGCUAUUUUAGAAAAUAUAAAAUCCAAGGUCGGUGGCAUCUUCACAAUUACUUGAUCAAUGUUGUGUUGUUCGCGCAGCUGCAAUAUUUACAGCUACAGCGUUAACUUAUGAGUAACGAUAAGAUAUUUGUAAUUACAAAUAUGAAUAAAUCAUCGCAAUGAUUAUUUUUCUGAAA